ACGUUGUGUGCGAGUUUGAACAGGUGAGUUUUGAGUUGUGACUUGAAGGUUGUAAUGGUGUCUGACUGUUUUAUGUGUGGGGGGAGGGAGUUCCAGAGCCUGGGUGCUGAACAGCUGAAUGACCGGGCACCCAUUGUAGUGAGUCGUGAUGUGGGGAUACAUAGUAGUCCAGAAGAGGUUGAGCGGAGGGAGCGGGAGGGAGUGUAUUCUUGGAGGAGGUCGCAGAGAUAACUGGGGGCUAGGUUGUGGAGAGCUUUGUAGGUGAGGAGUAGGGUUUUGUAGUGGAUACGGUAGUGUACUGGGAGCCAGUGAAGUUGAAUGAGGACAGGGGUGAUGUGGUCAGAUGAUUUGGUGCGGGUGAUGAUCCGGGCGGCUGAGUUCUGAAUGAUCUGCAGUCUGUUGAUGAGUUUGGUGGGGAGUCCGGUGAGGAGGGCGUUGCAGUAUGGAGCUGGGGUGUGUUGUGAUUUAGUGAGGGUGGAUUUGGAUCCGAUGAGCAGGGCCUCGGUCUUGUUUCCAUUGAGUUUCAGGAAGUUCCUGCUCAACCAGCUCCGGAUCUCUUCCAGGCACGUGAUGAGGGAGGUGGGGGGGAUGGCAGCGGUGGGUUUGGUGGAGAUGUAGACCUGUGUGUCGUCAGCGUAGCAGUGAAAAUGGACCCCAUGGUGACGGAGGAGUGUGCCCAGCGGGAGGAGGUAAGUGGUGAAGAGGAGUGGACCCAAGACUGACCCCUGGGGGACACCCAGUGAGACACCUGAACACCCAGACUUGUGGUUGCUUAGUUGAACAAAUUGUUGAUGGCCGGUGAGGUAGGAUGUAAACCAGGAGAGUGCAGCACCAGUGAUCCCAAUACCAGCUAGGCGGUCAAGGAGCAGAGGGUGGGAGAUGGUGUCGAAUGCUGCGCUGAGAUCGAGGAGGAUGAGAAUGGUGAGUAAUCCAGAGUCGGCUGCAAGGAGGAGGUCGUUGGUGAUUUUGACUAGGGCUGUUUCAGUGCUGUGUUUUGGACGGAAGCCAGAUUGGAACGGUUCAUGGAGAUUGUUAAUGUCGAGGUGGGACUGUAGUUGUGCGGCAACCACCCUUUCAAGUGUUUUGGAGAUGAAAGGGAGAUUGGAGAUGGGCCGGUAAUGGUUAAGGUCAGUUGGGUCAGCAGCACCAGGUUUUUUCAGGAUGGGAGUGAUGGCAGCCAGCUUGAGAGUGGGGGGUACAGUACCAGUAGUGAGGGAGGAGUUAAUUAUGUUGGUGAUCAUGGGGGAGAUGGACGGAAGACAUGCUUUGACAAGGGAGGUGGGAAGAGGAUCGAGCUGACAGGUGGUGGUUUUGGCUUUGAGGAUGAGUUCUGAAACGGUCUGUUCUG